rnacentral:sRNA from 1 species
UGUAUCGGAAGCCUGACGAGGAUGAGAACCUCCGGGGNNUUCGACCCGAGCGAAGCGAGAGAACGUUGCUUCAGCAACGGCCCGCAGGGCGAGCCACGCAGUGGCGAGUCAUCCUCUAUCACCGACCA